rnacentral:misc_RNA from 1 species
GGUUCAGCUUUCUUGAUCUCCACCUGAGUACCAGCCAUAUCAAUCAUAUUUCCCUUGGAUAACAUUUGAUCUACAAUUUCUUCAUUGUCAAAAAUAAUAAAUCCAAAUCCUCGAGAACGAUUGGUUUCAUGAUCCCGUAUAAUCUGGUGCUCCACCACUUUCCCAUAUUUUGAAAAGAAAUUCUUGAACUCAUCUUCUGUAACUGAUGAUGGAACACCACCCACAAAUAUCUUCUUAGUUUUAAAAUCCUUUGAUUGCCCAGACCCUUUAGGAAUGGUCCUCUUUAUUUCAACCUGUUUCCCAUUGAUGAUAUGGGUGUCUUCAAUAACCUUAUCUACAACCGAAGGAUCAGCAUAGGUGAUAAAACCAAAACCCCUAGGCUGACCUGUGUACCGAUCUUUCAUGAUCACUGAAUC